CCUACGGGAGGCAGCAGUGAGGAAUAUUGGUCAAUGGACGAGAGUCUGAACCAGCCAAGUAGCGUGAAGGAUGACUGCCCUAUGGGUUGUAAACUUCUUUUAUAUGGGAAUAAAAUGUUCCACGUGUGGGAUUUUGUAUGUACCAUAUGAAUAAGGAUCGGCUAACUCCGUGCCAGCAGCCGCGGUAAUACGGAGGAUCCGAGCGUUAUCCGGAUUUAGUGGGUUUAAAGGGAGCGUAGGUGGAUUGUUAAGCCAGUUGUGAAAGUUUGCGGCUCAACCGUAAAAUUGCAGUUGAAACUGGCAGUCUUGAGUACAGGAGAGGUGGGCGGAAUUCGUGGUGUAGCGGUGAAAUGCUUAGAUAUCACGAAGAACUCCGAUGGCGAAGGCAGCUCACUGGACUGUAACUGACACUGAGGCUCGAAAGUGUGGGUAUCAAACAGGAUUAGAUACCCUUGUAGUC
rnacentral:rRNA from 1 species